UUACAUUCCAAAUAAUGAUGUGAAAUACUAUAGAGAUAAUUUUAAAAUCUGAGUGAUGUUAUAUCUCUCACGGGAGGUUUUUGUUUGUACCAAUUAGCCAGUUAGGGUAGAUACAGAUCACCACAACUGAUCAGUGAUCAAUCUGCUUCAGAUUUAGGCUUCAGACCUUAUAAGCGCUUGCCUUUUUUCUAGUUUCUUUCUUUCUACUCUGUGUGUGUUUGAGGCUCCUGACUACAUGCCUGAGAUAUUUACUGUGGUCUCUCCCUUUCAGUGGACUUGAGUCACUUCCCUUCCCCUCACUCCCACAGUUGCUUCCUUCAGUUUAGCUGGAAAGCCUCUUCACUGUUGCUCCGAAUUGACAAGCUCCUGAAGAGCAGUGUGGAAUGUGGGACUUACUUGCUGUGUCACAGCUGCCACAGAGAUAUAUUUAUAUUUUAUUCAGCUUUCCUAGCUGGAAGAAGACUGUCUUCCAACAAUGGAAGUGUAAGUUUCUCCUCUUUAGAGACAUGGCUGUUCAUGUUCCACAAUGCUGUGCUGGGUGUGUUUGGGAGUGGUUGGCUUGUUAUUUAUCCACAAUUGCCAGACUGCGAGAGCCGCAUCUGUACCCAAUGUUACGGUAUAUCAUCCAGAGAUCCUGGACCUGGAGGCAGACGUUGGAACCCCAAAAUGAAAGAAAAAUACAUGGUUGCUACUCAAUAUACAUUGGUGAAAUGAAUUAACAAAUGACUAACUCAUUCAGUCUGGAACAGUCAAGGAAGAUAUCAAGGAAAAAUUAAUGUGUGAGUUGAAAUGUAAUGAAGGAAUCAGAAUUUACAAGGCAAACUGGACAGGUAACGUAUCUGUUCUUUUGUGAUGGUAAGUUUAUAUAAUCUAAAAUUUAACUUUUGAGCCCUCAAAAGCAAAGUAUAAAAAUAUCUACCCAUAUUUUGGACUGUCAGUACCAUGUGGUCAAGGGUGCAUAUUUACAUUGCUCACCCUUGAGUCAAGGAGAACAAGACAUCCACUUAACACUUAGUGGUUGCAGAAUAAAUAAUGUUUCAUAAUGAAUUAAUAAGUGAAUACACAUUGCACAAUAUUAUGGAAUUCUAACCCUUUGUGUUUGUAAGUUUGAGGAGGAUAUAUCUAUAACUAUCAGGAGAUUAAUCUGCCAUACUCAUAAAAUGCUUGAACAGGUAAGAGUUUAUUUUCCUUUCAAUAUAGCUAUAAUUAUUUUUCCACUUUUAUUUUAGGUUCACAGGUACAUGUGCAAGUUUGUUAUAUUGUGUGUCACAGGAGUUUGAUGCACAAAUGGUUUCAUCACCCAGGCAGUGAGCAUAGCACCUGAUAGGUAGUUUUUUCACAUUUCCCCUCCCCCUACUCUACCCUCAAGCAGGUCCUGGUGUCGAUUGUUCCCCCUUGGUGUCCACAUGUACUGAAUGUUUAGCUCCAAACUGUAAGGGAAGACAUGCACUUUUUGAUUUUCUUACCCUGUGUUGAUUUGCUCAGGAUAAUGGCCUCCAGCUGCAUCCAUGUGGUUGCAAAGGACCUGGAUUUUGCAACAUGUCCUUUUCAGUGACUAUAUAGUAUUCCAUGGUGUAUAUGUACCACAUUUUCUUUAUCUGGUCCACUAUUGAUGUACAUCUAGGUUGAUUCCAUGUCUUUGCUGUUGUGAAUAGCGCUGUGAUGUGCAUUAGAGUGCAUAUGUCUUUUUUGGUAAAAUGGUUUAUAUUCUUAUGGCUAUAUACUCAGUAAUUAGAUUACUGGGUGGAAUGGUAGUUCUAAGUUUUUUUGGAAAUCCUUCAAACUGCAUUCCACAGUAGCUGAACUAAUUUACAUUCCCACCAGCAGUGUAUAGGCAUUCCUUUUUCUCCACAACCUCAUCAACAUAUGUUACUUUCUGACUUUAUAAUAAGUCACUCUGACUGAUGUAAGAUGGUAUCUCAUUGUGGUUUUGAUUUGCAUUUCUCUAAUGAUUCCUGAUGUUGAGAACAUUUUCUAUAUGCUUUUUGGCUGCAUGUAUGUAUUCUUUUCAGAGGUGUCCAUUCAUGUCCUUUGCCCAUUUUUAAUGGAGUUGUUUGUUUUUUGAUUGUUGAUUUAAGUUUUUUUUUAAUAGAUUCUUUGUCAGAUGUAUAGUUGUCUACUUUCUCUGUUGAUAGUUUUUUGCUGUGCAGAAAUCUUUAGUUUAAUUGGACCCUACUUGUCUAUUUUUGACUGUGUGGCAAUUGCUUUUGGAGAUUUCAUCAUGAAAACUGUGUCAGGGAAAAGUCCAGAAUGGUAUGUACUCAGUUUUUUUCUAGUUUGUAGGCCAGGCACGGUGGUUCAAGCCUGUAAUCCCAGCACUUUGGGAGGCCAAGGUGGGCAGAUCACGAGGUCAAGAGAUCGAGACCAUGGUGAAACACCAUCUCUAAUAAAAAAAAAUACAAAAAUUAGCUGGGUGUGAUGGCACACAGCUGUGGUCCCAGCUACUUGGGAGGCUGAGGCAGGAGAAUUGCUUGAACCUAGGAAGUGGAGGUUGCAGUGAGCUGAGAUCACUCCACGGCACUCCAGCCUGGUGCCUGGCAACAGAGCAAGACUCUGUCUCAAAAAAAAAAAAAAAUUCUUCUAGUUUGUAUCAUUUUAGGUCUUACAUUUAAGUCUUUAAUCCCUCUUGAGUUGAUUUUCAUCUUUGUUGAAAGGAAGGGGUCCAGUUUCAUCUUCUGCAUAUGACUAGCCAGUUAUCCAUGCACCCUUUGAUGAAUAGGGAACCUUUUCUUUAUUGCUUGUUACUGUCAACUUUGUUGAAGAUCAGAUGGUUGUAGGUGUGAGGCUUUAUUUCUGGGUUCUCUAAUCAGUUCCUUUAAUCUAGGUGUCUAUUUUUGUACUAGUACAGUGCUGUUUUGGAUACUGUAACCUUGUAGUAUAAAGUUGAGUAGUGUGAUGCCUCAGGCUGUAUUCUUUUUGUUUAGGAUUGCUUUGGUGAUUUGGUCUCUUUUUUGGUUCCACAUAAAUUUUACAAUAGUUUUCUCUAAUUCUGUGAAAAAAAUGACAUUGGUAGUUUGAUAGGAAUAACACGAAUCUGUACAUGGCUAAUUGCUAUUAUAAGUGACCAGUAUGGCCAUUUUAACAACAUCGAUUCUUCUUCUCUAUGAGUAUGGAAUUAUUUUCCAUUUGUUUGUGUACUCUCUGAUUUCUUUCAGCAGUGUUUUGUAACUCUUGUUGUACAGCUCUUUUAUCUCCCUGGUUACCUGUAUUCCUAGGUAUGUUAUUAUUUUGUGGCUAUUGUGAAUGAGACUGUGUUCUUGAUCUGGCUCUCAGCUUGGAUGUUUUUUGGUGUAUGGAAAUGCUACUGAUUUCUGUACAUUGAUUUUGUAUCCUGAAACUUUACCAAAGUUGAUUAUCCAUUCUAGGAGUCCUUGGGCAGAUUAUGGAGUUUUCCAAGUAUAGAGUCAUGUUGCCUGAAAACAGAGAUGGUUUGACUUUCUGACUUCCUAUCUGGAAGCCUUUUUCUUUUUCUUUUUCUUGACUGAUUGCUCUAGCUUGGACUUCCAGUACUAUGUUAGAUACGUGUGAUGAGAGUGGACAUCCUUUUCUUGUUCUGGUUCUCAGUAGGAGUGCUCCCAGCUUUUGCCCAUUCAAUAUAUGUUGGCUGUUGGUUUCUCAUAGGUAGCUUUUAUUAUUUUGAGGUGUGUUCCUUCAACACUUAGAUUGUUGAGUGUUUUUAACAUAAAGAGAUGUUGAAUUUCACUGAAAGAAUUGUCUCUGUCUAUUGAGAUAAUCAUGUCAUUUUGUUUUUAGUUUUGUUAAUAUGAUGAAUC
ensembl:lncRNA